CCUACGGGAGGCAGCAGUGGGGAAUUUUGGACAAUGGGCGCAAGCCUGAUCCAGCAAUGCCGCGUGCAGGAUGAAGGCCUUCGGGUUGUAAACUGCUUUUGUACGGAACGAAACGGCUCUUUCUAAUAAAGAGAGCUAAUGACGGUACCGUAAGAAUAAGCACCGGCUAACUACGUGCCAGCAGCCGCGGUAAUACGUAGGGUGCGAGCGUUAAUCGGAAUUACUGGGCGUAAAGCGUGCGCAGGCGGUUAUAUAAGACAGAUGUGAAAUCCCCGGGCUCAACCUGGGACCUGCAUUUGUGACUGUAUAGCUAGAGUACGGUAGAGGGGGAUGGAAUUCCGCGUGUAGCAGUGAAAUGCGUAGAUAUGCGGAGGAACACCGAUGGCGAAGGCAAUCCCCUGGACCUGUACUGACGCUCAUGCACGAAAGCGUGGGGAGCAAACAGGAUUAGAUACCCUGGUAGUCCACGCCCUAAACGAUGUCAACUGGUUGUUGGGUCUUCACUGACUCAGUAACGAAGCUAACGCGUGAAGUUGGCCGCCUGGGGAGUCGGCCGCAAGGUUGAAACGUUAGAAGUAGUUGGCGNGNGAGNGCGACGACGACGACGACGGAGGAGGAG
rnacentral:rRNA from 1 species